CAGGGUUUACCUACUACCCUGUGGCGAGAUUAUUGCAUGCAAUUGGGUGCCACAGCUGCCUUGCUGAGGACGCUAAGCCACGUUGGAGAAGCCACGUGUGGUCAAGCAUCAUCAUAGAUCUGCUGCUGGCCACAAAGGCACUAGCUACCAGCUGCAGGGAUGGGAAGGCUCCUGCCAGGCUGAGGAAACACACAAGUGGUAUUUAAGGGGAGAUGCGUUUUGCCUCUGCAGCCACACAGUGCUGACAUCUCAGACAAAUCUCCUGUAUUUUUGGAGGUGAACGCUGAGGACAGCUGGCUGCAGGGAGCAGUGUGUGGGCUGGGAAAAUCAAUUUGCCAUUGUCCCCAUCAGGCCCGGAGUUAGCUCAGUGAGGAGGGUUUCCGACAGUCCCACUCACGGGCUCCAGACGGAGGCU
rnacentral:lncRNA from 1 species